UGGCGGCGUAGCCUAAGUACAUGCAAGUCGAACGGUCUUUCUAUGGAAGCUUGCUUCCACUGAGAAGAUAGUGGCGAACGGGUGAGUAACACGUGGGUAACCUGCCCAUAAGAGGGGGAUAACAUCCGGAAACGGGUGCUAAUACCGCAUAGUUUUCUUGAUCGCAUGAUUGAGAAAGGAAGACGGCCUUUGUGCUGUCGCUUAUGGAUGGACCCGCGGCGUAUUAGUUAGUUGGUGAGGUAAUGGCUCACCAAGACGAUGAUACGUAGCCGACCUGAGAGGGUGAUCGGCCACAUUGGGACUGAGACACGGCCCAAACUCCUACGGGAGGCAGCAGUAGGGAAUCUUCCGCAAUGGACGAAAGUCUGACGGAGCAACGCCGCGUGAGUGAAGAAAAGGUUUUCGGAUCGUAAAACUCUGUUGUCAGAGAAGAACAAGUUGGAGAGUAACUGCUCCAGCCUUGACGGUAUCUGACCAGAAAGCCACGGCUAACUACGUGCCAGCAGCCGC
rnacentral:rRNA from 1 species